rnacentral:lncRNA from 1 species
GAAUCCAAGUCAGCGCCUACUGGACGUGAACUGGGAACAACUUACCCCCAAACUAAUAAUUUUCUUCUCGAAAAAGUUUGUUUGUUGAUCGUGAAAAUGAAGUUACAGUACGUGUGCUUAAUUUUUGGUAUAAUUGUGUGUUCAAUUAUAAUGUGCGAGGCGUUACCGUUUAGAGCGGGAAAUAUUGAUUAUAUGGAGGCUAUUCGUCGUAUGCAGCAGAUUCCACAAUGGCACUGCAUGAGGUACAGGAAAUUUCAGUUGCACGGUCACUGCAACCGCUGGCUCCUCAUGAGACGCACCUGAUACUCUGUGUCUUCGCCCAGGCAAUGGAGAUCAUGAAAACGGUCCUAAGCGUAAAAAGUUAACCAUUUAAAUUUCGAAUUGUAUCUUGUAAUCGGAAUUAAUCAAGGAGAUUUUAUUACGAUUUAAAUAAUAUUUAUUUAUUGAAUUUAGAAUUAUAUUUUUAUCGUUAGUAUGUCUUAUAUAAUAAAUUUAAGAUAGGUACGAGUAUAUUUUGUAGAUUUGGAAAAUUGUUUAUGUAAAAAAAAAACUCUCUCGGUUUGUUUGUUCUUGGAUUUACUGACUGACUCUAGGGACCUUCUUAGUUUCUUAGCAUUCUUGCGUAUUUUAAUAAAAUAUUACGGAAAUAAGUUAUUUAAACUAGAUCUAGGAAUUUUACAAUGUAAACGAAUUCGAAGUGUAUUUUGAAACGGAAUUCGUAAAAAGAAACUAUUUUUAAAUUUAAAUUGUUCGUUUCAUAAUAAUUCAAUUUUAUUUAAUGAGAUAAAAUUAGGUGCUUGUUAUCUCACCAAAGAUUUAAUGAAACUAUUUUUAAAUUUAAAUUGUUCGUUUCAUAAUUCAAUUUUAUUUAAUGAGAUAAAAUUAGGUGCUUGUUAUCUCACCAAAGAUUUAAUGUGAGAGUAAUUUAAAUUAUUUGUAAGUAUCUAUAAAUAUAUCAUCUGAUCUAAAAGUAAGCAAAUGCAUAGGUAUAUUCGUUUUGUUAUCAAAUGAGCCAUAAAUUGUUGUCUGUUCAAUCUUUUUUUGAAUUGAAUCUCUAUUCUUCAUUUACGAUGUCUAUCCUUUAAGAAAUUUUAGUUGUAGAUCUAAUCAUGACUUGUACAUGUUAUUAAAUAGCUGUCUUUUGUUACAGCUGAGUUAAUUUCAUCACACCGUAGUCAAAAAUAGUUCUAAAAUAUUCGCACCAUUCUAUUCUGUCUAUGUUGCGUCAGAGUUCAAAGUCUAGCUUUACGAUCACCGAUGACCGUUGCACCAUCGAUCCACCUGACCCAUGUAAUCUUAAACUUACUUACGUAAAAAAUGUUUUUAUUUAUUUUAGGGUUUUUUUUUCAGUAAGUUAUUUAGUCAUGUAGUGUAGUGUCAAUCCGAUUUUAUCCUAAAAAUAUCCUACUUUCACUAGAUAUGGACAAUUGUUAACCUUUCGCACCGUUACAAUUAAUUGGGAAAAAUUACACGCAACAAGCUUACCUAAGUACUUCACUAAUAUUCAAAUACUCUUUACCAUUUUUUUCUUCCGGACUUAUAUUGAUCAUAUUCCAUCACCACUUUUUGUUGGAUCCUCAAUAAUUAUAGAUUUCUCACAAAAAGUGAUAAAAAUAAAUAAAUAGACAUGUAAUCACGACUAAUCGCAUUUGCCACGCUUACGAACUAUUUUUCUGUUUUUGCAAUUGCCAAUUUCGUGGGAAAGUAAGGCAAUUUCAGAAUCAUCAUACAUUACUCAUUCUCAUCUCGUCAAACUCUCGUCAUGUUACGUCAGAGAUCAAAGUCUAGCUCACGAUUAGCAAUGACCGUUGCACCACCGUCACACGCAACCGUUGCGAUCCCAACCUUACUUGUUUAAGUACUUAUAAUCGAACUUAUCAGUAUUAAUAAUUUUACAGUUAUAUCACCAAAUUUUGCAAUUUAUAAUGUUAUUUAAUAAUUGUAAUCUUAGCAGAAUAAAAACAUUCAUAGAAGAGUAGAUCAUGAUUCUGUUAUUACAAUAAAGUUAUUGGUAGUAA